rnacentral:rRNA from 1 species
ACGAAGGGGGCUAGCGUUGUUCGGAAUUACUGGGCGUAAAGCGCACGUAGGCGGACAUUUAAGUCAGGGGUGAAAUCCCAGGGCUCAACCCUGGAACUGCCUUUGAUACUGGGUGUCUUGAGUACGAGAGAGGUGAGUGGAAUUCCGAGUGUAGAGGUGAAAUUCGUAGAUAUUCGGAAGAACACCAGUGGCGAAGGCGGCUCACUGGCUCGUAACUGACGCUGAGGUGCGAAAGCGUGGGGAGCAAACAG